AACUGAUACUACCUGCGGGAACCUGCGGAGGGAUCAUUACUGAAGUGAUUUGGGGAUGUUGCUGGCCCUCUCUCAAGGGGGGGCACUGUGCACUCCUCGAAACAAUUCACAAUUUCCAUCACACCCCUUGUGCACGCCUUGUAGGCACCCAAACCCACCUCCGGGUGGUGGGGUCCUAUGUAUUCCUUCAUCUCACACUCUGUUGAAUGGUGCCAUGGGACGCAUCUAAAGGAUUAUUUG
rnacentral:misc_RNA from 1 species